rnacentral:rRNA from 1 species
CCUACGGGAGGCAGCAGUGAGGAAUAUUGGUCAAUGGGCGCGAGCCUGAACCAGCCAAGUAGCGUGAAGGAUGACUGCCCUACGGGUUGUAAACUUCUUUUAUAAAGGAAUAAAGUGAGGCACGUGUGCCUUUUUGUACGUACGUUAUGAAUAAGGAACGGCUAACUCCGUGCCAGCAGCCGCGGUAAUACGGAGGAUUCGAGCGUUAUCCGGCUUUAUUGGGUUGAAAGGGAGCGUAGAUGGGUUGUUAAGUCAGUUGUGAAAGUGUGCGGCUCAACCGUAAAAUUGCAAUUGAUACUGGCAGCCUUGAGUACAGUUGAGGUAGGCGGAAUUCGUGGUGUAGCGGUGAAAUGCUUAGAUAUCACGAAGAACUCCGAUGGCGAAGGCAGCUUACUAAACUGCCACUGACAUUGAUGCUCGAAAGUGUGGGUAUCAAACAGGAUUAGAUACCCUGGUAGUC